UACGUAGGGUGCGAGCGUUGUCCGGAAUUAUUGGGCGUAAAGGGCUCGUAGGCGGUCUGUCGCGUCGGGAGUGAAAACUCAGGGCUUAACCCUGAGCCUGCUUCCGAUACGGGCAGACUAGAGGUAUGCAGGGGAGAACGGAAUUCCUGGUGUAGCGGUGAAAUGCGCAGAUAUCAGGAAGAACACCCGUGGCGAAGGCGGCUCUCUGGGACGGUACUGACGCUGAGACGCGAAAGCGUGGGGAGCGAACAGG
rnacentral:rRNA from 1 species